GAGAAGGCUAUGUUGGCCGGGCGACGGUUGUCCCGGUUUAAGCGUGUAGGCUGGUUUUCCAGGCAAAUCCGGAAAAUCAAGGCUGAGGCGUGAUGACGAGGCACUACGGUGCUGAAGCAACAAAUGCCCUGCUUCCAGGAAAAGCCUCUAAGCAUCAGGUAACAUCAAAUCGUACCCCAAACCGACACAGGUGGUCAGGUAGAGAAUACCAAGGCGCUUGAGAGAACUCGGGUGAAGGAACUAGGCAAAAUGGUGCCGUAACUUCGGGAGAAGGCACGCUGACACGUAGGUGAAGUGAUUUACUCAUGGAGCUGAAGUCAGUCGAAGAUACCAGCUGGCUGCAACUGUUUAUUAAAAACACAGCACUGUGCAAACACGAAAGUGGACGUAUACGGUGUGACGCCUGCCCGGUGCCGGAAGGUUAAUUGAUGGGGUCAGCGCAAGCGAAGCUCCUGAUCGAAGCCCCGGUAAACGGCGGCCGUAACUAUAACGGUCCUAAGGUAGCGAAAUUCCUUGUCGGGUAAGUUCCGACCUGCACGAAUGGCGUAAUGAUGGCCAGGCUGUCUCCACCCGAGACUCAGUGAAAUUGAACUCGCUGUGAAGAUGCAGUGUACCCGCGGCAAGACGGAAAGACCCCGUGAACCUUUACUAUAGCUUGACACUGAACAUUGAGCCUUGAUGUGUAGGAUAGGUGGGAGGCUUUGAAGUGUGGACGCCAGUCUGCAUGGAGCCGACCUUGAAAUACCACCCUUUAAUGUUUGAUGUUCUAACGUGGACCCGUUACCCGGGUUGCGGACAGUGUCUGGUGGGUAGUUUGACUGGGGCGGUCUCCUCCUAAAGAGUAACGGAGGAGCACGAAGGUUGGCUAAUCCUGGUCGGACAUCAGGAGGUUAGUGCAAUGGCAUAAGCCAGCUUGACUGCGAGCGUGACGGCGCGAGCAGGUGCGAAAGCAGGUCAUAGUGAUCCGGUGGUUCUGAAUGGAAGGGCCAUCGCUCAACGGAUAAAAGGUACUCCGGGGAUAACAGGCUGAUACCGCCCAAGAGUUCAUAUCGACGGCGGUGUUUGGCACCUCGAUGUCGGCUCAUCACAUCCUGGGGCUGAAGUAGGUCCCAAGGGUAUGGCUGUUCGCCAUUUAAAGUGGUACGCGAGCUGGGUUUAGAACGUCGUGAGACAGUUCGGUCCCUAUCUGCCGUGGGCGCUGGAGAACUGAGGGGGGCUGCUCCUAGUACGAGAGGACCGGAGUGGACGCAUCACUGGUGUUCGGGUUGUCAUGCCAAUGGCACUGCCCGGUAGCUAAAUGCGGAAGAGAUAAGUGCUGAAAGCAUCUAAGCACGAAACUUGCCCCGA
rnacentral:rRNA from 1 species